rnacentral:misc_RNA from 1 species
AAGCACGAAGGGGAGCCUGGGCUCCCCUUCAAGGUAUGUUGCUAUGCUCUUUUUUGUUUUUCGGGAGGCCUGUUGUUGUUUUUGGCGACCUUACCCUUCACAUCUUUUUUGAGCGGUCCACAUGCGGGACCAAGAGCAAACGUAUUUUUUUGAGCGCUGAUGACACUUUCAUCGUAGUGAUCCAACCAGUUCGUCAGCUGCCUAGAGGCAGUU